rnacentral:rRNA from 1 species
ACUGAACGCUGGCGGCAGGCUUAACACAUGCAAGUCGAGCGGAGAGAGGUAGCUUGCUACUGAUCUUAGCGGCGGACGGGUGAGUAAUGCUUAGGAAUCUGCCUAUUAGUGGGGGACAACAUUUCGAAAGGAACGCUAAUACCGCGUACGUCCUACGGGAGAAAGCAGGGGAUCUUCGGACCUUGCGCUAAUAGAUGAGCCUAAGUCGGAUUAGCUAGUUGGUGGGGUAAAGGCCUACCAAGGCGACGAUCUGUAGCGGGUCUGAGAGGAUGAUCCGCCACACUGGGACUGAGACACGGCCCAGACUCCUACGGGAGGCAGCAGUGGGGAAUAUUGGACAAUGGGCGGAAGCCUGAUCCAGCCAUGCCGCGUGUGUGAAGAAGGCCUUAUGGUUGUAAAGCACUUUAAGCGAGGAGGAGGCUACUUUAGUUAAUACCUAGAGAUAGUGGACGUUACUCGCAGAAUAAGCACCGGCUAACUCUGUGCCAGCCGCCGCAGUAACAC